rnacentral:tRNA from 1 species
UGUCAAGGGAUGAGAAUCGAACCCACGACCUUCCUUUUACCGGGCAGAUGCCAUGACCACUAGGCUACCCUGGAC